rnacentral:rRNA from 1 species
GAUGAACGCUGGCGGCGUGCCUAAUACAUGCAAGUCGAACGAACAGACGAGGAGUUUGCUCCUCGGACGUUAGCGGCGGACGGGUGAGUAACACGUGGAUCACCUACCUAUAAGACUGGGAUAACUUCGGGAAACCGGAGAUAAUACCGGAGAAUAUCUUGAACCGCAUGGUGCAAUAGUGAAAGACGGAGUUGCUGUCUCUUAUAGAUGGAUCUGCGCCGCAUUAGCUAGUUGGUAAGGUAACGGCUUAUCAAGGCAACGAUGCGUAGGCGACCUGAGAGGGUGAUCGACCACCCUGGAGCUGAGACACGGUCCAGACUCCUGCGGGAGGCAGCAGUAGGGAAUCUGACGCAAUAGGCGGGAGCCUGACACAACGGCGCCGAGCGAGUGAUGAAAGUCUUGCGGUCGUAAUACCCUCUUCUUAGGGGAAAACAGAUGUGUAAUUAGCUGUACACGUAUUGACGGUACCGAAUCAGGAAGCCACGGCUAACUACGUG